rnacentral:lncRNA from 1 species
CUAGUUUCUAUCAGGAGAUAGUGGAUAUAGAAUCUCCGACAGCUGAUACUUUUGGAGUUAAUGAAUAAACUUAGUCCAUGGUCCCAUCCUAUAAUCCACACUUAGUAAAUUCCAUAGUUUUAGUAGGUAUCCAUUCCACACCUAGCAAAUCCCCAGCUUUUAGUAGUUAGUCAUUCCACACCUAGCAAAUCCCCAGUUUUUAGUAAUUAUCUAUUCUACACUUAGAAAAUCCCAUAGUUUCCAUUCUACAUCCUCAUUAGGCCUAUAAGAAAAAUAAACUAUCGUACCACUUGAGAGGGAGAGAAAAUCUUUGGGGUGGGACGUGUAGGUUAGAACAGAGAGAAGUUGGAAGUAAGAGGCUAGGAAAUCUAGAGAGACAAAGAGCCUUAAAAAAAAGAAGAGAGAGAGAGAGGUUGCCUAGAGAAAAUGAGAUCGCGAGACCUGAAAAGCCCUAGCUUUAGUCACUCCAUCCAACCAAGCCAGGGCUUGGUCAAGACUUGAAGAGAGGGACAAAGAGGACGCACGACACGG